AAAAUUUGAGAAAUCACGUUUUAUACAAACUAGAAACAUUUGCUCAGUGCCAACAACGUGCAUACGAUUGCCAUAUGAAGCAGCAAUCCCCACUAAGUAUUCCCCAAAUUCAGCGAAAGGGCGUACUCCAAAACACUUGUUUUUCGGAAUUAGGAUUCCUUCUACGUGAAUACCUCUCGACAACUUCAACUGCCCAUAUCCCCUCUUUUAAGCAAUCAGAGUGUUGUUGUUUCAAUGGCUACCGACGCCAGUUCAGAUCGGAAUGCUACAGCCGCAGAACCUGUACUGCUACCGGAGAUUGGGUCCGAUGGUAUUGCUAGGGAAUCACCGGUUAUUGCUUACACCGAGAAGAUAAUUGAGGCAGAGCAGCUUCAAUUAAGAAAAUAUAUAGAUGAAAAUUACUCCAAGAUUCGUGAUGUUGAGAAGGAACUGGCAAACCUGUCAAUGGAGAUGAAACUUACGGCUGGGCCUAAGAAAGCAGCACUUGAACACAUGAGAAAAAAAAUAGAAAUGUCAACAGAGAAAAUCUGUAUUGCUAAGCAGAAGGAAGAACAAGCACGGAAGGCAUGGGAAGCAGCAUUAAAAGCUGUUAAGAAUGAGGAGGAUUUCAAGCAAAAGCUUUGCGAGGACUUGAAUAAUCUGGUUCGUGAAAGUAGCAACACUCAGCUGGCUAGAUUGGAGGAACUGAAAAGGAAGCUGGAAGCUUUAAAUCCGAGCAGAGCAUCCACAUCUUCUGCCUUGGAUCUGAAUUCCGUGGGACCUGCACCGAGCAGUAUGAAUCGAGAUGUUCCCUCAGUUCAAGGUUCACAGGAAUCAUUAAAUGGAUCAUCUGAAACUACAUUUAAAGAAGGAAACACUGGAAACACUGCAGCAGAAAAUGGACAAAACCAACAACGUGAAGCAAGAGGGAAGAAGAAAAUUAAUGCCCAAGGAAGAGGGAAGGGAAUUGGCAUAAUACCUAAAAGUAGAGGUGCAGCACCACCUGGUUGGACAGGGGCUGGGUUUGAUGUGGAUGGUAGAAGUUGAUCCAGUUCAGUUUCGAUUUAAAAGGACAUAUGCACCUAUAUGGCAUGCAAAAGCAAAGAAGCGGUAAUAUGUAUGGAGUAGUCAUUCAAUUUAAUGAAGAGGAAAAAGAUUGGAGGCCAUGUUCAUGACUGAAUGAGUCUAGUCGAGCUUUGCUGAGCUAGAUUGUGAUUUCAAGUGCAGUUUGUUUAAGGACUAAACUGGUUGAGUCAAGUGGUACAGAAGGGCCAUCCUUGUGAACAUGGUUCCCGAGAUGAAUAAUAUAAACUUUUAGAUGUCACUCUUGUUCGUAGCUCAUUAUCUACGGAUACAGUUAUACUUGGAAAAAUCAUGUGACACUAGCUAGAAGAACUGCUCAGCUUGUUCGCCAGUAGAGGCUUGAUUAUAUGAAGGUGUCAAAUAAGACUGCUAGUAAGACUCUAUAAUAUGCCGUUAGUAGCUGAUAAGUAAGAUUAUGCUUUGGUCAUGCCACAACAAAUUUCUUCUCCUUGUUUUCUAUUGAUUUUGAGCUAUCAAUUCUUUUCUUUUUUA